rnacentral:rRNA from 1 species
GUGUCGUAAGGGUGCGUAACACGUAUGCAAUCUACCCUCAACAGGAGGAUAGCUCCCCGAAAGGGGAAUUAACACUCCAUAAGAUCAUGGUUCGGCAUCGGACAGUAAUUAAAACUACGGUGGUUGAGGAUGAGCAUGCGCAUGAUUAGUUAGUUGGCGGGGUAAUGGCCCACCAAGACGAUGAUCAUUAGGGGAACUGAGAGGUUGAUCCCCCACACUGGCACUGAGAUACGGGCCAGACUCCUACGGGAGGCAGCAGUAGGGAAUAUUGGACAAUGGGUGCGAGCCUGAUCCAGCCAUGCCGCGUGCAGGAAGACGGCCUUCUGGGUUGUAAACUGCUUUUGCCAGGGGAUAAAACGUCCAUGCGUGGAUAAUUGAAGGUACCUGGUGAAUAAGCCACGGCUAACUACGUGCCAGCAGCCGCGGUAAUACGUAGGUGGCAAGCGUUGUCCGGAUUUAUUGGGUUUAAAGGGUGCGUAGGCGGUUCCAUAAGUCAGUGGUGAAAUACGGCAGCUUAACUGUCGAGGUGCCAUUGAUACUGCGGGACUUGAGUACAGACGAGGUAGGCGGAAUUGACGGUGUAGCGGUGAAAUGCUUAGAUAUCGUCAAGAACACCGAUAGCGAAGGCAGCUUACUAGACUGUAACUGACGCUGAGGCACGAAAGUGUGGGGAUCAAACAGGAUUAGAUACCCUGGUAGUCCACACUGUAAACGAUGAUUACUCGAUGUUGGCGAUACACAGCCAGCGUCUUAGCGAAAGCGAUAAGUAAUCCACCUGGGGAGUACGCCCGCAAGGGUGAAA